UGAGAAAAGAAGAAUAGAAUGCGAAGGAAUAUAUAUUGGAUUGCAUGGAAGGUGAUUUGUAAAUGUUUUCGCGAACCAUUGGCGGAUAUGACGCUGGAAUAAUUUGUCACACACGAUUGGAGACAGUAACUAUAACGAAGGCUCGAAUUCCGAGUAGGGCGCAAUCGAUUCGGAACAGAAUUGUAAAAAAAUUUACUCGAUUAUUUCGACAUCAAUGUAGAAGUUAAUUAGUUGAUGACAAGAUAAUGGAAUUUUAACGAAAAAUAUAAUUAUAUUUGAUACAGGUGUAGUAAUAAUUAAGCUGCUGUCACUCAUCCAAUAUUACAUAAUAUUUACUUCGUUUUCGCGACAAUGGUAUUCCCUCCUCCUCAUUGCAU